UUCUGAUACUGCUCCUGUACUGGUGGUUGUGUUUGUGUAUGGAGGUGCCUGGGGAUCAGGAGACCGCUCCAUUUACUGUCUGUUAGCCUUACAAAUAGCAAAAGAGCUUAAUGCCUCUGUACUUUGUCCAGAUUAUUCCAUAUAUCCAAAGGUAAGCCACCAUUAUAUUAUACAUUAUAUAUUUAAUAUUGAUAUUUUUUGUGUGGAUUUCUUUUUUCUUUUUUCAAAUUGUUUGUUGUGUUUUUAGGGAAAUGUUUUAAAUAUGGUUCAAGACAUCAGUGACAGUUUGCUGUGGGUGAGAGAAAAGGGACAAACAUUCAAUCUUGAUCAAGACAACAUAAUAUUAAUAGGUCAUUCAGCAGGGGCUCAUCUGUGUGCCCUUUCCACACUGUUUCUGGUGAACAGUGCAGAAGAGCUGUUCAUUGAGACCAACAUACAGAGAGAUCUUGUAUCUGCCAUUAAAGGAAUCAUAGGUUUCAUUAUAAGCAUGAGAAAAUGCGGGCCGUUGAGUAUGUAUCAACUAUGCACAAAGCUAUGGAUGGUGUGGAGAACUUUGAUUAUUAUUCACCAACAUCAUUACUCAAGAAAUUGAAUGAGGAUCAGUUGAAACGAGUUCCUCCAGUGGCUUUGCUCCAUGGAACCAGUGACAUGAUAGUUCCGGUGGAAUCAUCAGUGAAGUUCUCUGAGCUCCUCACAGCCCUUUCUAUCAGGAUGUCUCUCGAUCUAAUACCUAAAAUGAACCACACAGAGAUGGUCACUGACCUUAUGGCUCCAGACAGGCACUUUUACCAUACAGUUUAUGGCUGUAUUAAACAGGAGUACAGUAAAUUUCAAGGUUAUGCUGAUUAAUAAUUUUCAUUCAAUUAUUUUCUAAUAUCAUUUUCCAUUAUGCCAGUCACUCAUUAUAUGUUAUCUAUGUAUUUACUGUAAGUUUACAUUCACGUUCUAAUGAUUUCUUCUGAAAUGUUUAAUUUUCAAUCUAAAAUGUGUUCAAUAAGCCGUUAUAUAAGAUGGAAAGAUGAAAGAAAACAACCUCUGUGCUUGUUAUCUGUUAAUAAACUCUGUUAAUG
rnacentral:lncRNA from 1 species